rnacentral:rRNA from 1 species
UGGGGAAUAUUGCACAAUGGGCGCAAGCCUGAUGCAGCCAUGCCGCGUGUGUGAAGAAGGCCUUCGGGUUGUAAAGCACUUUCAGCGGGGAGGAAGGCGGUGAGGUUAAUAACCUCAUCGAUUGACGUUACCCGCAGAAGAAGCACCGGCUAACUCCGUGCCAGCAGCCGCGGUAAUACGGAGGGUGCAAGCGUUAAUCGGAAUUACUGGGCGUAAAGCGCACGCAGGCGGUCUGUCAAGUCGGAUGUGAAAUCCCCGGGCUCAACCUGGGAACUGCAUUCGAAACUGGCAGGCUAGAGUCUUGUAGAGGGGGGUAGAAUUCCAGGUGUAGCGGUGAAAUGCGUAGAGAUCUGGAGGAAUACCGGUGGCGAUGGCGGCCCCCUGGACAAAGACUGACGCUCAGGUGCGAAAGCGUGGGGAGCAAACAGG